AGGAUGGUUCGGUCAACCCAUAUGCACCUAUGGCUAGGUUCUCAACCAAUUAUUUCUUCAAAUAACUUCUAGUAUUUAAUUUAGCUCCAGAUUUAAUUUCAGUAGGCAAUGGGCCUCCACUGAAAGUUUCGGUUAGGUCAAACCAUUAACAUGAACCUACUCAGUGAUUCUAUCUAAUGAGUGAUCAAAUCCGAGGAUGGCUCGAUCAACCCAACCAUUAUCAGAUAGUUUAUCAGAGUUAUCAUAUGAUGAAUGAUAAUUCCAUCAUUCAGAGAGAACAUC
rnacentral:lncRNA from 1 species